UCAAACUUGGUCAUUUAGAGGAAGUAAAAGUCGUAACAAGGUUUCCGUAGGUGAACCUGCGGAAGGAUCAUUCAUAAUAAAAGUGUUUAUGGCACUUUUCAAACAAAUCCAUAUCCACCUUGUGUGCAAUGUUUUUUUUUUUCUAAUUGAACACCUUUCUUUAAUUGACAAUUGUAUCUGAAGAAAUCAGUAUUAUGAAUUAACCUAAUUCAAAAUAUAACUUUCAACAACGGAUCUCUUGGCUCUCGCAUCGAUGAAGAACGCAGC
rnacentral:misc_RNA from 1 species